ANCACCGGCAGCUCAAGUGGUAGCCGCUUUUAUUGGGCNUAAAGCGUCCGUAGCCGGUCUGAUAAGUCUCUGGNGAAAUCCCGCAGNUUAACUGUGGGAAUUGCUGGAGAUNCUAUCAUGACUCGAGGUCGGGAGAGGCUGGAGGUACUCCCAGGGUAGGGGUGGAAUCCUGUAAUCCUGGGAGGACCACCUGUGGCGAAGGCGUCCAGCUGGAACGAACCUGACGGUGAGGGACGAAAGCCAGGGGCGCGAACCGGAUUAGAUACCCGGGUAGUCCUGGCCGUAAACGAUGUGGACUUGGUGUUGGGAUGGCUUCGAGCUGCCCCAGUGCCGAAGGGAAGCUGUUAAGUCCACCGCCUGGGAAGUACGGCCGCAAGGCUGAAACUUAAAGGAAUUGGCGGGGGAGCACCACAACGCGUGGAGCCUGCGGUUUAAUUGGAUUCAACGCCGGG
rnacentral:rRNA from 1 species